rnacentral:lncRNA from 1 species
GCUUUUAAAGGUCGACAGGUCCUUGGAAGAGAGACUCAAGUCAGCUAAAGACCCAAGGUCCUUAGUAGCUGAAAUGGAUUCCACUAAGCCGCUGGAAGGUGCUUUGUUACAGGGUGAAAAGUCAACGGCAGAGGCGGAAGAAGGAGAACUUUUGGAUGAAGCUGCCGGAGAUGAAAACGUCCAGCCCCUGCAUAAAAGAUGCCGCCAGCUCGUGGAAAGCAUGGAGCUGGAGAACGCCCAGCUCCGGCGCCAGCUGCAGAAGCUGGAGCGGGAGCACGAAGACGUGGUGGAGCGCAACGAGGAGCUGGAGUCGCUCCUGGGGGAGGCGCAGAACCGAAGCCAGGAGGAGCGCGAGCAGCUCCAGGACCGAGUGGACGGGCUGCGGAGGAAGGUGACUGGGGUUGCGAGAGGCGCCCACUUGUCCCCUGGGGCCAAGUGGGCGCCAUGGGUCAAGGCCGGGAGAUGGACCUCGGGGGGGAUCUCGGCUUCCGAAACUGGGUGGCACCAGGUCCUCGGGCGCAUUGCAGCUGACAGACCAGAGGCUUGGAGAAGUUGCUUUAUUUGUUUAUUUAUUUAUGUAUUUAUUUAUUUAUUUAACUUAUAUACCACCCACUCUACCCAAAGGUCUCUGGGCGGCUUACAACCAUUAAAAUACAAUAAAAAGAUAAUACCAUUAAAAUAGAUACUUUAAAAUUGCUAUCGGGACCCAUAGCUGAUAUUACAUAUUUCAAUUAAAAACCUUCUGGAACAGAAAGGUUUUGACCUGGCACCAAAAUGUCAUCAGCGUCGGCACCAGGCAAAUCUCAGUCAGGAGGGCAUUCCAUAGUCUGGAAUGUUGCUUUGUGGGGGGGGGGACUACAGUUCCCACUCGCCCCCUCAGGUACGGGAUGCUGCGGGUUGUCGUCCGAAACAGGAAGGCUCCUCCCAUCUCUGCUUAAGAGCUGCUGCCUCAGAUGGAUUCUGACGCCGCUGGAAGGGGAACCGAUUUUAACCGUUCCAGGCCUUUGGGGCCUCUUGUUUGCUGUCAGACGGGAUGAGCCGACAAGCGUGGUCAUCAGCUAUAGGAAAUCUGAAGAGGCCAUGGGGACGUUGGGAGGGGAGAGGGGGGUGCUGUCGGAACAGCCCGACGCUUUGGGAGAAGUCAUUCAGUGCAAGAGUGGGCCACGGCCGAGGGCCCGAGGGCCACUUUUCCACUCCCGGGAUCCCCUGCCCUGAAAAUGGGGUAAAGCGUGGAUUUUUUUUCUUUUAAAAAGGUGACUGGAAAUCCACUUCCUGUUCCAUUCAGCGUUCUGAAGGGGGUCCUUGUGUUCUGCAGGGCGAAACCAGGGUCAUGUAAAUACAG